UAAACAUUACAAUUUUCCUAUCGGUUAUUUUCUUGGUCAACAAUCAUCGUGUACUUACAGUGAAUGGAUCCGAUGGAGCUUGUCUAAGUAUAGGCGGUACAUGCCAAAACAUAGCUAGGCCAUGCUGGGGAAAGUACAUAAGUAAUUUAUGUGGCGGUCCACUUCAAAUGAUGUGCUGUGCUGGCUCAUGGUUUACUACGACAAAAAGAACGCCAAAGACUUUUACUCCUUACAGAUAGAUGUAAAAAAAAAAAAUUACUGAAGAAACAGAAAAAAUAAUUUUUAA